UACGGAGGGGGCUAGCGUUGUUCGGAAUUACUGGGCGUAAAGCGCACGUAGGCGGCUUUGCAAGUCAGAGGUGAAAGCCCGGGGCUCAACCCCGGAAUUGCCUUUGAGACUGCAUCGCUAGAAUUGUGGAGAGGUAAGUGGAAUUCCGAGUGUAGAGGUGAAAUUCGUAGAUAUUCGGAAGAACACCAGUGGCGAAGGCGACUUACUGGACACAUAUUGACGCUGAGGUGCGAAAGCCAGGGGAGCAAACGGGG
rnacentral:rRNA from 1 species